rnacentral:rRNA from 1 species
UCAUGGCUCAGAACGAACGCUGGCGGCGUGCCUAACACAUGCAAGUCGAGCGCGAAUAGGGGCAACCCUUAGUAGAGCGGCGCACGGGUGCGUAACACGUGGAUAAUCUGCCUGGAUGCUCGGGAUAACCAGUCGAAAGAUUGGCUAAUACCGGAUAAGCCCACGGUCUCUUCGGAGGCUGAGGGAAAAGGUGGCCUCUGUAUACAAGCUAUCACAACCAGAUGAGUCCGCGGCCCAUCAGCUAGUUGGCGGGGUAAUGGCCCACCAAGGCGACGACGGGUAGCUGGUCUGAGAGGACGAUCAGCCACACUGGAACUGAGACACGGUCCAGACUCCUACGGGAGGCAGCAGUGGGGAAUUUUGCGCAAUGGGCGAAAGCCUGACGCAGCAACGCCGCGUGUGUGAUGAAGGUCUUCGGAUUGUAAAGCACUUUCGACCGGGACGAAAACCCGAAGCCCAAUACGCUUCGGCUUGACGGUACCGGGAGAAGAAGCACCGGCUAACUCUGUGCCAGCAGCCGCGGUAAUACAGAGGGUGCAAGCGUUGUUCGGAAUUAUUGGGCGUAAAGCGCGUGUAGGCGGCGUGACAAGUCGGGUGUGAAAGCCCUCAGCUCAACUGAGGAAGUGCGCCCGAAACUGUCGUGCUUGAGUGCCGGAGAGGGUGGCGGAAUUCCCCAAGUAGAGGUGAAAUUCGUAGAUAUGGGGAGGAACACCGGU